CAAGACUACGUCCAGCAUUUCUAUGACCAUCAUCAUGCUGUCCCUCCUGAGUGUCUUCAUAGGUUUCUUCUUGAUAUUCCAGUGUGUAAGGCGUAGGCUGCUCCUUUGGUGCAGGCUAUUUCGUCAUUGGCGCCGAGGCACGUUCUCACUUCCUCGAGCCUACCCGAUGCAUAGCGAGAUGUUUGAGAUGGAGAGCCCGCAUGAGUACUCUGGCCAACAGGAAGGGAGCCCAGUUUUAGGGAUGGAUAACCAGAGCUUCCAAGGCACAUUGGAAGAGGACUCUGGAAGCAGCAGCUAAGAGAAGCUCUUUCUUGUACCAGAACCUCUGAAGUAAUGAGCAGCCUGGCCCAGAUCUUAUCCUGCCUUGACCAAGGAGAAGGGUUGGGAGUCCUACAGUCUUGGGCCAGGACACAAUUUCUUAUUUAUUCUCCCCCUUCCCACCAUGCUUCCCCCAUUAAUCAGCUGUCUCUACUCAGCCCUUGGAGCUAGGUUUGGGCCUGAUUUUUUUCCUUGGACCAGCCACUGUCCCC
rnacentral:lncRNA from 1 species